UACGUAGGGUGCGAGCGUUAAUCGGAAUUACUGGGCGUAAAGCGUGCGCAGGCGGUUCGCUAAGACCGAUGUGAAAUCCCCGGGCUUAACCUGGGAACUGCAUUGGUGACUGGCGAGCUAGAGUGUGGCAGAGGGGGGUAGAAUUCCACGUGUAGCAGUGAAAUGCGUAGAGAUGUGGAGGAAUACCGAUGGCGAAGGCAGCCCCCUGGGCUAACACUGACGCUCAGGCACGAAAGCGUGGGGAGCAAACAGG
rnacentral:rRNA from 1 species